rnacentral:lncRNA from 1 species
AAGAGGAAGAAUGGAGACUGAAUCCACUGCCCAAUGUUGGAUUUCGAUUAGUCAACCCAGGCGUGGUUUGCCCCAGAGGAGCUUCCAGUCUCAAUUGACAGCAGGCCAAGAGUCGGGAAAGACACGGAAAACAAGUUUUUCAACAUCUCUGCAAUAGCAGCAUCAUUUUUCCAUCUCUAUGGUAGUCAUCAUCAAACAAUAUGAUCUGGUAAUAUCAUCCAUCUGCUUUGUAAUAAAGCCACAGUCACAGAGUCAUAUAAUUUUUGACCUGAAAAGGAACUUGACGGUUGCAUUGUUUGUGGAUAUUCUAAAGAUGAGGAAUGUAACUCCUAGAAGUUUCCCCUUGGAUUCCACAGCUCAUUACAGGAAUAAGAGGACUAGGACAUAGAUUUUCAGGUUGGCCGACUCGUGUAUGUGAGACCUGCUUGGGCUCCAGCUGCGGUUAAACAUGUCUGUGGGACCAGUAGCCUGACUUUCCAAUCAGAGCUUUGUUGCUGUGACUGCUGCUGUGGAGAUUCAAGCCACACACAAACCAGCUGAAGAGAAGGAAAUUUAUCUUAAGCUUGAGUAGGGUUCAUGGGAAUCUAAAAAUAGGAACUGCUUACUAUACAGCUGGUCCUCAUGGGGCCCCUACCUGGAAAAUUUAAGUGAAAGCAAUCUGUCAACAACUGGAUGAUUUCUCUACUAUAAGAACAGCCAAUAUUUACUGAGCUCUUAGCCCAUACCAAACACUUGUUAUGUGUGUGUGUGUGUGUGUGUGUGUGUGUGUGUGUGUGUGUGUGUGUGUCUGUACUGUGUAUAUUCAUUUGCAUUCCUUACCACAUUAUGACUAAGGUACUCUCAUCUUCCUUUAUAUAUGGAUGAGAAAACUGGUUCUUAAGAGUAGCCGAGAGACUUACCAAGGCCACAGGUUGAUAAUUACUAGAACAGGAAUUCAGAUGCAGGUGGAGUGCUCCCAAGGCCCACUUACUUCACCACUGCAAUGUUUUGUGUCCAGCAGAGAGCUUGCCCCAUUCUCUUCUCUGUGCAGAGCACUUGAUGUUUGAGCAUAAGAUAUGGGAUUAAAACCCAUCUUACCAAAACAAAAGGAUGGGAAUCUGACCUGAUUUUAUUAAAUCAAUUCUAGGAUGGCAGAAUUAUUUCUCCAUUUAGAGGAAAAAUAUAUUAUGUCCCAAUUUCUAACCUAUACUAUUUCUCCAAAUGAGCUAGUGGCAAGAUAACCAGGACAGGGUGAAUAGAUAUUUGUAAAGAGGAAAUGUCCAGGUAGCAAAGAUCCACCAGUCAUAGAUUUAUUUGCAUGGGGUUUUUUUUUUUUUUUUGUACUUGUCUUGCCAGAGACAAGAAUAAAAGGAAAUGAUUUAUGUGAAAUUCACAUAAAACAAAUGGCAUGUGAUUGCAUGAUCUGUCUAUAUGAAAUAGUUGUGCCUCAUCCUUCCUAACAGGAAGGAUGGAAAGAGGAAAAUCCUUUUCAGCUGGGUGCGGUGGCUCAUGCCUGUAAUUCCAACAC